rnacentral:rRNA from 1 species
UGAGACACGGCCCAGACUCCUACGGGAGGCAGCAGUGGGGAAUAUUGCACAAUGGGCGAAAGCCUGAUGCAGCGACGCCGCGUGAGGGAUGACGGCCUUCGGGUUGUAAACCUCUUUCGACAGGGACGAAGCGCAAGUGACGGUACCUGUAGAAGAAGCACCGGCCAACUACGUGCCAGCAGCCGCGGUAAUACGUAGGGUGCGAGCGUUGUCCGGAAUUACUGGGCGUAAAGAGCUUGUAGGCGGUUUGUCGCGUCGUCUGUGAAAACUCACAGCUCAACUGUGAGCUUGCAGGCGAUACGGGCAGACUUGAGUACUGCAGGGGAGACUGGAAUUCCUGGUGUAGCGGUGAAAUGCGCAGAUAUCAGGAGGAACACCGGUGGCGAAGGCGGGUCUCUGGGCAGUAACUGACGCUGAGAAGCGAAAGCGUGGGUAGCGAACAGGAUUAGAUACCCUGGUAGUCCACGCCGUAAACGGUGGGCGCUAGGUGUGGGUUUCCUUCCACGGGAUCCGUGCCGUAGCUAACGCAUUAAGCGCCCCGCCUGGGGAGUACGGCCGCAAGGCUAAAACUCAAAGGAAUUGACGGGGGCCCGCACAAGCGGCGGAGCAUGUGGAUUAAUUCGAUGCAACGCGAAGAACCUUACCUGGGUUUGACAUACACCAGACAGCCGUAGAGAUACGGUUUCCCUUGUGGUUGGUGUACAGGUGGUGCAUGGCUGUCGUCAGCUCGUGUCGUGAGAUGUUGGGUUAAGUCCCGCAACGAGCGCAACCCUUGUCCUGUGUUGCCAGCACGUAAUGGUGGGGACUCGCAGGAGACUGCCGGGGUCAACUCGGAGGAAGGUGGGGACGACGUCAAGUCAUCAUGCCCCUUAUGUCCAGGGCUUCACACAUGCUACAAUGGCCGGUACAGAGGGCUGCGAUACCGUGAGGUGGAGCGAAUCCCUUAAAGCCGGUCUCAGUUCGGAUCGGGGUCUGCAACUCGACCCCGUGAAGUUGGAGUCGCUAGUAAUCGCAGAUCAGCAACGCUGCGGUGAAUACGUUCCCGGGCCUUGUACACACCGCCCGUCACGUCAUGAAAGU